rnacentral:rRNA from 1 species
UACGUAGGGAGCGAGCGUUGUCCGGAUUCAUUGGGCGUAAAGAGCUCGUAGGCGGCUUGGUAAGUCGGAUGUGAAACCUCCAGGCUCAACCUGGAGUCGCCAUCCCGAUACUGCCAUGGCUAGAGUCCGGUAGGGGCCCACGGAAUUCCUGGUGUAGCGGUGAAAUGACGCAGAUAUCAGGAGGAACACCGAUGGCGAAGGCAGUGGGCUGGGCCGGCACUGACGCUGAGGAGCGAAAGCGUGGGGAGCGAACAGG